ACGGUGCAGCUGGCCCUUACGCUUACGGUUUACGGUGUAGGUAAAACCUUACCUACAUUUUACUUACACCGUGGUACGGUUUAAUUAUUAAACUUUAAUCGGGACUUUCGAGACUAGAACGUGUGUUGCGUCUCAUGCGAGUUAUAAUAUAUUAUUAUACUGUACCUACCUAAAGAAUCACAGGCCAGAAAUGAAUACUACAGCAAACAAUGAUCUGGAUUCAUUGGAUGAAGCGAAUUCAAAAUUAUUACAUAUUAUUAAUUCAUCCAAUUUAGAAAGUGCUAGAGUAAUUUUGGGCGCGGACCGAGGAAAAAAAGCAAUGUAUGCAUUCUCUCUUUCAAAAUGUUGUUGAUGAUGAUAAUGCUAAUUCCUCUUCAGAUGAAAAUUAGGAACAGUAUAAUGUUCAAGUAUUUAAUAUAAAACUGCAGGAAAUACAACAUAAUUUUAAACAGCCUAGAUCAUUUUUUUAAUUUGGAGUUCAUUAAUGCCAGUUUCAACGCCAUCAAACUAUACUUAUUCAAAAUCUAAUAAACAAUUAACUGAAGAAGUUAUACAUCCAUAUGUUGAAUUAAGUUAAGUUUUGAAUGACCGUAAUUUAAUGUGCUCACAUACCUAAAUGCGUUUUUAUUAAAUAGUUACUUAGUCUUAUUUAGGUUUGUAAAAUAAAAUUAUUGAAUCAGUGGUUAAACUUGAAAUGUAAGACAACAACUAAAGACAUUUUCCAAAUCUGUAACUUUUUUUCUAGAUGAACUGAAAGUUAUUAGAUCUGAGUUAUUAACAAAUCGUAUGAUGGGGGAACGACUGUAGAAUAAAUUAGAUAGUUUACAAACUAAAAUCAAAAAUUUGAAAACAAACAUGAUAUCUACUACCAUAUAUAACUGAUACACAAGAUACAUAAUUUUUAAAUCUUUUACCAAUCAAGUAUUCAAAAAUUAAAUGAUUGCGAGGAUAUGUUAAAUAAUGAUAAUACAAGUAUCAAAGAUAAGUUGACAAAUAUGUUUUUUUCAAUUGGAUGGAGUUGAUUCCAAAAGCCUCGGAUGUCGUAUUUUAUCUAGGACAUUUACCAUUGGAUUUGCUGUAGGUUGUUCUUGGACAGGGUGAGGUUUUGGUAAAAAUAUAUCAAAGGGAUAUAAUCAG